rnacentral:rRNA from 1 species
UUCGCAAUGCCCGAAAGGGUGACGAAGCGACGCCGCGUGAGCGAAGAAGGCCUUAGGGUUGUAAAGCUCUGUCGAGGGUUAUGAAAUGUAAACAGGUUAAUACCCUGUUUAUUUGACAAAAGCCCAAGAGGAAGUCACGGCUAACUCUGUGCCAGCAGCCGCGGUAAUACAGAGGUGGCAAGCGUUGUUCGGUAUUAUUGGGCGUAAAGAGCACGUAGGUGGUUUUAUAAGUCAGGUGUGAAAGCCUUCUGUUCAAAGGAAGAACGGCAUCUGAAACUGUAGGUCUUGAGUGUAGGAGGGGAGAGUGGAACUUCUGGUGGAGUGGUGAAAUGCGUAGAUAUCAGAAGGAACGUCGGCGGCGAAAGCGACUCUCUGGCCUAUUACUGACACUGAGGUGCGAAAGUUAGGGGAGCAAACGGGAUUAGAUACCCCGGUAGUCCUAACCGUAAACGAUGGGCACUAAGUAGAGGGGUUUU